AGUCAAGACUGUCAGACAGGUUCUUCCUAAGGAUUCUCAGGAAGAAAAGUCUCUGCUGUGCCUUCUUUAUUAGUGCUGUGGUAUUAUCUCUUCAGGUCAGAUCCUGGUCUCCUAGGAAAUACGUACCUCUGCGCACUUUUUUGCAGCGCCACAAAUAUGUACCACCAGGUACGUAUUGCUAUAGUUCUGAAACAAAAACGUCCACUGGGGUCGCUAAAGAGAAGGACAUGUUACAUUUCGAUUAACAGUCAGAGGUAUGUACACUACAGCAUAUCCAAUUAUCCUAAAACUGUGUUAUUUUAGUGAUAAAUGUAACGUGAUUCGUGUUAUAUUACUGAAACAUGUUUAAUCUGAUGGUAAAUGUAACGUUAGAAUCAUGAGAGUGCUCACGACGCCAGUAGAACAGAUAAGCUAAUUUAGCUAGCUUCCUUCAAUUAACAUUACGUACUCUGCAGUACAAAAAUUACAGCCGCAGCAUACAUCGACAGAACCCUGGCAAAGUAGGUACGUUUGUAGCCAGGUGGCUAUAGUGAACUAAAAUUAGCGCUUGCUAAGUUCUUUUUUUAGUGAUAAAUGUUUGCUGUAAUGGUAAAUGUGAUGUUAGAAUCGUGUGUGAGCACUCCUGAUAAAAGCAAUGCCCUUCAAUUAUGUUUCUGUAGUACAUUUUGUAGCUAGCUAGGUGGCUAACGUUGGUGAGCUAACGGUGAGCUGUCUGAACAUAAAACUUAUAUGUUUGCACAUACGCACAUUCAGCAAAUCACCAGUUCACCAGUUAUGAGCACAUCCAUAUGUGCAAACAAAUGCGAUAUACAUUGCAUUACUUUCGAUGUAUUAUUAGAUGAGGUUAAUCUGCGUUUAUACCUUAAGAACUACAAAUCCCAUGAAACUGUCGACCAAUUAUGUGUUGCCAUAAAACGCCGUGUGCAAACAUGCGCACUAUCAAUGUGUGUGUGUGUGUGUGUGUGUGUGUGUGUGUGUGUGCGCGCGCGCCCACACAGUAAGAAACUACGUUUACAUCACCAAACAAUUUUAUAUGUGCUUGCAGGUUCCCGACAUAUGAAAGUGAUAGAAAAGCAGCAGCUUGACAAACUUGCUGCACUUGAUUUCUUCCCCGUACUACUGUUGGGGAAGAAAUCCCGGGGAACCUUGGUGGCCGAUGUCAUCCUAGGCGGGGAUUAUAUUUUGGAACAUGAUUUGCUUCAGAAAGUUAAGCUAAUGUAUGAAGCUGUGCUCAAGAGUAAGUCUUUUUGUACGGAUAUGAAGCUCUGUAAUCUGGAAACACUGGUAACUCAAAAGAAUGUGAACCCACAAGUAUCAUUCUCUUUAUUUUUCAUAUCGAUGCAAAAAAUGAGCAUUACUUUCAGCCGUAAUAGGAUAAAGCAGCAUGUGAUGGCUCUAUUGCUAAAGGAAACUAUUUGGUGAAGUCAACAAGCUAGAUAAAAAGUAUUUAGGCAGACAGUUUUGUGGCAUUAAUUUCAGUUGAUGGGAGAAGUAUGUGUUAGGUCUUUGAUUUGCCCCUGUUUUAAGUUAAAGUAUAUAUUACCUACCCAUUUCUGAUAGGGGCCAUAUACAUGUAGUUUGUGCCCAAAUACUACUAAUGACUACUAAUCAUCUACUAAUGACAUGCGCUCAGCUUUUUGAUUCGGAGCACUGCUGAACUCUUAGU